GUUUUCUCGCCCUCGCCUUGGAUCUCAUCUUGUCGGCUUGUAGAUUCCUCGCGUCCUCCUUGAGCUCAGAAGCAGCAGCAGCGCUAUCUUCAUCUCACGAGCAUUAUCACUUAUCUCUUUCCCUCCUCCUCCUCUCGCUCCGCAACAUCUCGGAUCUCCCCCCACCUCCCCUUCUUGAGCACUUGAGGAGGAAGAAGUGCUAUUUUCCAGGGACCUGCGGAAUCCGGCACGACGCUGGACACUGGAUCCUGGAUGGGGUCAAGGUCGCAGCCCUCGAACGCAAGGUGAUCACGAACAUUUCAUACACCCGAGCAAUGAGCGACGAUUUUAACGCGCGAAAACCUACUGUUAAAAAAGAAAAAAAGAAAAAAAAAGUGCAAUUGGGCAAAGCGUAUUCCUUUGCUAAAUAAAUUAUCAUUAUUAAUAAUAAUAUUAUAUAAUUAUUACUCAGGUCGGUCACACCUAGAAAAUCAAAUUAAAUGGAUGUUCUCCUGGGCAUAUCACUUUUACUGUUAACUGUUAUUGCCUAUUUUAUAGUAAAAUUAUAUGUAGCCAACAUGAUGUGAGCACACUGGCGAGUGCCUUAUAUUUAUAUAUAGCAGAACUAUUAACAUUAUUAAUUUAGGCGAGCUCUAUAAAUGGGUAAAAGGUGUGUUCAGUUUCAGUGUUACUAUUGAGAGCCACCAGACGGCCAGGAGCUCCCGCGUGCGUGCAUGUGUGUGAGAGAGCUAGUGUGUGUGUGUGUGUGUGUGUGUGUGUGUGUGUGUGAGGAGAAAAGAGUAGAAAUAGGCUACUGUAUGUAUGCGUGCACGCGUGGGAUCCGCAACGAGAACGUAUGCAUAUAAACGCUCUUGAAGCAAUGCACUUUAGCUCUUUUUUGGGUCUUUGGUCUAGAUUAGGUUUUGUAAAUUCGUGGCAGUUUAUGUGCAGGUAAAGCAAGCAUGGAAAGGCAAGGCAACCGAUUCGCUCAUGUAAGUAUGACUCUGCUGAAUUAUUUGUUAGGUAGCCUAUACGUGUUACAAAGUGUAUUAUAGACUGCUGUACAUCUAAAAUACAGUCCUGUUUGCAUGUGCACAAUCAUCGCAUUUUAAUGGGCACUGUAAGACUGUAGGCGUGCUGUCAGAAUCAAGCCUCAGCAGUGCAAUAGCAGGCUCAACAUCUGCAUUAUUUUCUGCAUUUGGCAUGUAAUAUCGGUCCUGUAGGACACAUUAAAAACAACGAGUUAAUAUGAUGCGGAAAGAUACUGUCCGAAUUUAGAAAGAUAGCGUUGCUUUGCUAACACAACUAGGAAAUGUGCAUUUGCAUUGUUUUGAUUUUUUGUUUGAUUAAAAACUAAAUAAUGCAUGCUGCUGUAAUGCAAUUGCAGAUCAUCAUUAUUAUUAUGAUUUCUGUCUUUGUUUUUGUUUUUUGUUUUUUGGAAUUCACAGUACGAGUUUUAGAUGAAGGAUAUUAACGCUUGUUAUUUAUAAUUUCUUUUUGCAAUCAGAUGACCAGUCUGCAAUAAAACGGACUUCAUUUUGUCACCAGAUCCCAUGGGAGCACACGGGCUCAUGCAGGUGUCUUUCAAGACAUUUAAAGCAGCCAUUAACAGUAAUGCAUACCCUCUAACACUGAGGGCUGUCAAUCUUUUUUCGUUGAAAUCAUUCCCGGCCGAUGCGCAAUUCAAUGUUAGCUAAUCACUUCUGCUUUUAUGAAGAUUAGAUUGAAGUAGACCGAGCUGUUGGUGUAUUAAAAACAAUAAAUAUGAUUAUAAACUCGUGCACAUAAACAUAUUGUGAGAUAUUUUUAAAUCCACUCUUUGUUCUCAAAUAAAUGCAACAGGCCGUAUGGAGCACGUAACCACAGGUUUAUGCGCGUAAUUAUCUUCUCUGAGAGUGAGAGGCUGGAUUGCCGCCUUUUAAAUUUUGUGCAAACAAACCCCGGAGCCUAUUUCAUUCAUAAACGAAAUAAUUCGCACUUUAUUUGGCACAUCUGAUUUUUGCUCAUUAAAGAGGUUCAGAUGGAUUAACAGGGCAAAAUGCUUGAAACAUUGAAACGUACAGAUACUGUACCUGCCGUUACCCGCUUUGAAGGAAGAAGUGAUCUUGUUACUAAGCCUCCCGCUGACAAAAGACAUUUAUUGGUUUAUUGACUGACUCCAUAUUACACGUUUAAUCGGUAAAACCUUCUCUUAUCAAGACACAUCCAAUAGAUAUAAACAUAUAAGGUCGUUAAACUGAAUACGUAAAAUAGAUAGAAAAAAUUCUGAGUUUAUUUCAUUGUGAAAAUUAAGACAGCGAAAGCUUUUUAUUAGUUACGCUUAAAUAAUAUUUCACCACAACAUUUACAGGGUAGGCCUGGCCUAUAGCAUAUAUUAAAAUGGUGACAUUUUUAAAUUAAUAUAGCCCUAUUUAAAAAAUAAAAAAAAAACAUCUGUUGAACAAAACAACGUGCCAGUUUUUGUUUUAAGUGAUAGCUUGCAAUUUCUCCAAUCCUCAUAAAGCAAUUCAAAUUAAAAUGUCUCUCACGCACUGGGCUGUACUUUUCUUUUUCUUUUCUUUUCUUUUUUUUCACAAGGAGCAACACCUUUGUUCAGGCAUUUAACUGUAAUUAAACUUGUAAAGAAAAGUGUUGCUCCUCAUCACUAGCUCAUUGGGGAAUAGUUUUCUGCGUCAUUUAAACGUCUGUCUUUUUACGAGCUCCUGGAAACGUGAUGGCUAUGUAACCACGCAUUUGGACUAUUUUCUUUCCAGAUUGUUGCCAUUUUCCUGUGGUUAAGCACAGGAAGGGAGGGAUGCUGGCCCGGAAGAGAGGUGUUCUGCAAACCAGGCCCCAGUAACAUCCACGGAGUUUUUGGUCCUCUCAAUUAAUCAGGGAAAGAAUUGAAGAGAUGAAAAGAGACGGAGUCCGGAGACUUCACGGGAACGCGCAUGUGAGGAUCGCCCGAGGCGAGCAGAGAAAAUUACCCCGCGCAGAAACGACCCUAAUAUGAUGUGAUCAAUCACUCUGUCCGGGGAACACCACACUCUCUUUACAUCACUAAUAUGUGCUCAUAUCGGCAAACUGCAAGAUGAUCAAAUCAUCAGUUUUCUGAUUGUCUUAUAGCAGGCGUGAAUUCUCAAAAUAGGAAAUCAUACAUGAUUUGUACAACAACAAUUGGAAACAAAAAAUAUAA